CUUUCUAUUCUAGCUACAAAGGAACUAGACCUAAAGAAAAAGAUGGAGUGUUUAGAAGACCGUCUGUCGAACAAGGUAAGUAGUUUGGCUUCUUU